rnacentral:lncRNA from 1 species
UCCCCGUGGAUUCUCAGUUUAUUCCUACCCCGACAAUCCCCUCCUACGCCUACGCCUCUGCCCCGCCGGUUUCCUCCAAUUAUUCGCCCUCCGCCGAUUUCUCCGCCAGUAAUUAUUCCUCCUCCACUUACCCUCCCCAUUCCCGGAGUUCUGAUCCUGCCCCUUCUUAUUCUAUAAGCCCUAGCCCUGCCGCCUCUCAGCCCUCCAAUCUACCUUCCUACUCUUUCCCUCAUCUGGAAACUUCCUAUUAUCCGUACGAUCAGAAUCCUGGAGCUGCUGCUGCAUCUGCUGCUGUUAGUUACGAUUAUCCCAAUUCAAAUCCUAGUUAUAGCCCGUCGUAUCCUUAUUCAUCGGCCUCUUAUGAUGGUUCUUCGCAGAAUUACGACAAUUCAUUCGGGAAUAAUGUUAGUCAUGGGGGAUAUGGUGAUCAGGGGAUGUAUGAUGCUGGGGUUUAUAAAUAUAAUGGGGGAAAUUCAGAGCCCUAUGGUGCUAAAGGGACCCGGUCUCGACUCGAGAGUGGUGGAGUGCUGUUUGAUGAUUAUGGGAGGCCCAUUAAUGUUCCCGGUGGGAAGGAGCAGAAUGGGUCUGGAAGCUUUCCUAAGAUUGUGAAGGCAGCUCCAAAGCCUGAGGAGCUGCAUGAUACUAGGGGCAGCGUGCAGAAAUACCGAGUCAGGCUCUUAUCCGAAGGUGCAAGUCAGUCUGACAUGGAUGUGCUCUGCCUAGGAUCCGUAUAUAAUUAAUUCAAGGGUACAAAUGGUUAUUCGGUCCAAUAGUAACGAAUUAGGACCCGACGCCAAGAUCUACGAUCCAAAAUCCAACCACGCACACAAGAAGGAACAAUAACGGCCAUUGGCGGGUAAGGAAGGAACCGUCAAGCGCGUAUCAAACAUCUUUUGACUUUCCCCGCCCCCGUUCCUGCUUCCUUGCCUUCCACUCUGUAUCUUCUGCCACUUUCCAUCCAUCCUUCGCCAAAUCUCCAUUCUCCAUUAAAACCCGACCCAAAAAAGCAUAAGGGAAAAGAAAAAUCUUUAUCUUCUCCGUCUGGCCGGUCGAUUUUCCGAUCGAAAUUCUGGUACUAAUUAUACAACAAAGCGACAUGAGCUCGUCGUAUUACCAGUAUUAUCAACCCGACUUCCAGAGCCCUAACCCUAAUCCCGGCCCCAACCCCAACGUCCCCGUGGAUUCUCAGUUUAUUCCUACCCCGACAAUCCCCUCCUACGCCUACGCCUCUGCCCCGCCGGUUUCCUCCAAUUAUUCGCCCUCCGCCGAUUUCUCCGCCAGUAAUUAUUCCUCCUCCACUUACCCUCCCCAUUCCCGGAGUUCUGAUCCUGCCCCUUCUUAUUCUAUAAGCCCUAGCCCUGCCGCCUCUCAGCCCUCCAAUCUACCUUCCUACUCUUUCCCUCAUCUGGAAACUUCCUAUUAUCCGUACGAUCAGAAUCCUGGAGCUGCUGCUGCAUCUGCUGCUGUUAGUUACGAUUAUCCCAAUUCAAAUCCUAGUUAUAGCCCGUCGUAUCCUUAUUCAUCGGCCUCUUAUGAUGGUUCUUCGCAGAAUUACGACAAUUCAUUCGGGAAUAAUGUUAGUCAUGGGGGAUAUGGUGAUCAGGGGAUGUAUGAUGCUGGGG